GAUGAAGAACGUAGCGAAAUGCGAUAAGUAAUGCGAAUUGCAGAAUUUCCGUGAGUCAUCGAAUCUUUGAACGCACAUUGCGCCCACUGGUAUUCCGGUGGUCAUGCCUGUUCGAGCGUCAUUAUCCUCCCUCAAACCCCGGGUUUGGUGUUGGACCCAAGUUGUGUGAACAACUGGUCUCAAAGACAAUGACGGCGUCCGUGGGACCCUCGGUGCAACGAGCUUUUAGGAGCACGCAUCGAGUUGCAAGGACCUUCCGGGCCGGUCUCCUUUACCAUUUUACAAGGUUGACCUCGGAUCAGGUAGGAAUACCCGCUGAACUUAAGCAUAUCAAUAAGCGGAGGA
rnacentral:misc_RNA from 1 species